UUGUGUGUCUUCUCUGAUCCUUAUCUCCAUUGUUUCUAGUGUAUGCGUUUGGCGGUGUGCGGUGGAAGCGAUGAGGCUGAAACCCUAGCAGAGCAUCGAAGCUCUAUCUUCUCUCCAGAACUUGUACUUUUACCUUUCUCUCACCAAGUCACGUGUCACAACAAUAUUAAAACAUCAACAUAUAUAUUUUGUGAGUGAUUUUACGCUUCUGCCCUAUUUUCUAAUAGUAAAGGGCGUGCAAUUAAGAUUCCUCGGGUUGAUGGUGGCGGAGAUUGAGGUUGACGAAGGAGAGGGAGAAGAGCGAGUGGGAAACAAAGAUGACGUAGUAGGGGAGGAUUGCGAAGAGAGGGAGAAUGGCGAAGAGGUAUCUCUUCUGAAAAGGGAAGUUGAAGUUUGAAGUGAUUCGCGAAGUGAGGGGUUGGAAGUGGAAGGAAGAGGGAAUCGUAGGCACAUUCCUAUCCUUCCGAUGGAUGAACUUGUCUACUUCGUUAGAAGAUGAGUCCCUUUCCAUUGUUGUCUGGCGGUGACUGGUCACUGAAGGAGGAGGAUGACUGUUGUGUUAGUGUCGCGGUGGAAGUUGAAGGAAGGAAGAAAAUAAUGUCUUGUCUUGUGAACGAAAACGAGAGUGUUUCCGAAGAAGUUUCUGCCAUCCCAUGCUCUAGGUCAAUCAAUUUUAUUCUUAAACAGAUAUUUCGUACACGGAUAUUAACAUAAACAGAUCUCUUAUCCUUCAACAGAGGUAAAUAUUCGUCAGAUAUCCGUUUAAGAAUAAAACGGAUACUAACAUUCGUUCUUAAACAAGUAUUUCGUACAUGGAUAUUAACAUAAAGUAAAUAUUAGUCGACAGAUGUAGAUAUCCGUUUAAGAAUAAAACGGAUACUGACACCCUUAGUGAAAAAUAAAGUUUUUAAUAAAAAAAUAAAUAUUAUAAAAAGGUAAAACAAAUAUUAUAAAAGGGUAAAAGAGAAAUGGAGAAGUACAGGAAGCACUAUGUGGUGGUAGAGAAAGUAACAUCCAAAUAUUUUCCUUUUAACCUUUUAUUUAUAAUGACAUCAAUAACAUCUCAAGAUAUAAAUGUACUUUUAAAUACAUUUUUCCUAUUGACUUAAGAAGACUUAAUGCUUAUCUUAGAACUAAAAUAAAAAUAGAGAAUAAAAUCAUAAGUUAGUAUUCUUAAUAAAAAGAUGGUUCUGUUUUUUUUUUCAUACUUUAUAAUUUUGAAAUAAACCAUAAUUUUAUUUAUAACUGAUUUUGCAAAAAAUAUAUACAAUUUUUAGUUACUUUUUAACUGAUAGAUUUUUUUUAAAAGCAAAUAUAUCUUUUUGUAAUUUCUUGUAUGUGUGUAUAUAUUUGCUACAAAAUUCUUCCAAGUUUUAUUACGAUGGCCAAAACCUAUUGUAUAUAAAAACUAACUAUAAAUUUGUUUAUAAAUAUAUUUUAAUAAAAUAAUUGUACUCUCAAAGAACUAAUGAUGUAAGAUCUAGAAAAUAGAGUAUUAGAGCAAAUAGGUGUAUUAAAAUAAUGAGACCGAUUAUUUUAUUUUAAAAUAAUCUUAUAAUAUAAAUAAAAUAUUUAUAAACGCGUCUCAUUACUUUAAGAACACAUCUCUCUAAAACAUUAUUCCCUACCGUUUCUUUGCCUUCUCUCUAGAUCUUCUCUCAGUUGAGCUGUCGGUUUGAUGAUUAGGAGCUGCCUAGACGAUUUUGACGUCAAGGACAAGAAUCCAGACCAAUAAAUUCCUUGAUUUGAGUCGGUAAGUCAUUUUUCCUUUUUCUGCGUACAUUUCUAACUGUGAUCAUGCAACGAUGGUUGUUUGCAUGUGUUUGGUUGCUUUCCUCUUUAAUUUAUAGCUCAAUCUAGGUUUUAAGAGUUGUUUUCUAUCACCAAUUGGUGAUCUAUAGGUGUUUCUAGAGUUUUCUUGCGGUGCAAGGCAUGGUUGGAG
rnacentral:lncRNA from 1 species